UACGUAGGGUGCAGGCGUUAAUCGGAAUUAUUGGGCGUAAAGAGCUCGUAGGCGGUUUGUCACGUCUGCUGUGAAAACUGGAGGCUCAACCUCCAGCCUGCAGUGGGUACGGGCAGACUAGAGUGCGGUAGGGGAGAUUGGAAUUCCUGGUGUAGCGGUGGAAUGCGCAGAUAUCAGGAGGAACACCGAUGGCGAAGGCAGAUCUCUGGGCCGUAACUGACGCUGAGGAGCGAAAGCAUGGGGAGCGAACAGG
rnacentral:rRNA from 1 species